AAAGCAAAGGACCAAUCGCGCAAAUGGCCCCUUUUGAACCCAUAUAAAAUCCCAUUUCAAAACCCUUUCUCUGCCAUUUCUGUAUUUGCCGCAGCCUCCCUUUCCCACUGCCGCUCUGCAUUCCUCUCAUUCCAACGACGGAAUGAAGAUCCCUCAACGCCGGAUGCGACGGUUCCACUGGGGAGAAAUCGUGCGCGGCGUGCGCAAAGGCUGCUGAACGUGGUUGCUACGAACUGCUUAUGGUGACUGCUGUUUGUUGUUUUUUUUUUGUGUUGAUGGCCACAUUGCAGUUGGGCUAGGGUUAGAUUUGGGUUUGGGUCAAUAUCUUGGGUUAAUGGGCUACUCGGGUUUGUUAUUGGACAAAAAUUGUAAAUGGUUUUGGGCUGCUGUAAUAUGGCCUGUUAUUUUAUUUUGGCCUAUUACAAAGCUGUUUAAAAAUGAUUUCCCACUUUCACAAUAAAAAGUCAAUGAACAUAUAUCAUAACUUUAAUUAAAA